rnacentral:rRNA from 1 species
AGGGAAUCUUCCGCAAUGGACGAAAGUCUGACGGAGCGACGCCGCGUGAGUGAUGAAGGUCUUCGGAUCGUAAAACUCUGUUGUUAGGGAAGAAUAAGUAUCGGAGUAAUAUGCCGGUACCUUGACGGUACCUAACCAGAAAGCCCCGGCUAACUACGUGCCAGCAGCCGCGGUAAUACGUAGGGGGCAAGCGUUGUCCGGAAUUAUUGGGCGUAAAGGGCACGCAGGCGGUUGUCUAAGUCUGAUGUGAAAUCUUGCAGCUUAACUGCAAGCGGCCAUUGGAAACUGGAUAACUUGAGUGCAGAAGAGGAGAGUGGAAUUCCACGUGUAGCGGUGAAAUGCGUAGAGAUGUGGAGGAACACCAGUGGCGAAGGCGGCUCUCUGGUCUGUAACUGACGCUGAGGUGCGAAAGCGUGGGUAGCGAAC